rnacentral:snoRNA from 1 species
AUCCUUUCACAGCUCAUAAGCGGGGCGAUUGGGUUUUCAUGCGCAUGCGUGCGCACACCCCUCCUCCCUCUCCUUCCCCCCUUCCCCCACCCUCCCCGACCCCGCCAAAUCUUGUUAUGACAUUGGCACAUUACCCAUCUGACA